rnacentral:lncRNA from 1 species
CGCAAGUUCUGACAGUUGGCUCUUGGGUAGCUAGCUAGCAGAGUUGUUUACUUGCGACGUUUAAUUUUCUCUGGCUAAAUUAGCCCAGCAUAGUUAUUCAAUUCAGUUAUCUAGGUUGCCAUACACGAGGUGUUAUCCAUGGGCAGCCUUGCCAGUGAGGUUUUGGAUGAGGCCCACUGUUUCUGGGCGACGUGCGCUCAUCCUUGCUGCUGGGAGUCGGAGCAGCGCAUUGCCAAAGGCGUCCCACACUACAUAAAGCAAAGAACAUCAGAUGGGGGCAGAGCCCCUGUAGAUGGCCUAAAUCUCCCUAUGUACCUGUCAAGGAGCUCAUUUGCCUUCCGUCCUUAAAAACCUCAAAAAUUAACAGAAAUCCAAGAAUUCAAGUCCAAGAGUCCAAGAAUGUGCGGAAGAGGGUGCCGUUCCAGCUGACAACAUUGACGUCAAAGCCGAAAAGUGAGCAUGGGUUGAGCUCCCCAGUGGCACAGCAAACUGUCCACCCAACAGACCUUGCCCUGGCCAAACCUGACACAGACACUGACCCCAACAGGGAGGAGGAGGAGGCCCAGACCCAGGCUCAUACCAGCCCACACCCUCCCCCAGCACCUAGGAUCCCCAGUGCUUUCCUCCUCAGGAACAAGCCUGUGGUGUUCCACAGUGUCAGGGAGAGGGUACUGAGAAGACACACCCAGCAGGACCUCUCAACGUACAAGUACAAACUGGACAGCAAGAAUGGUGGGGGUGGCAUUGACUGGGAUAGUCUGAGAAGACAGACCUAUCUGUGGAGGAAGCACAACCUUCCACCCAACUGUGACAGAGAGAAGCCAUUUCCCCCAGAGGACAUGACUGUCAGCCAGAAAGGCUUUGGUUUCUACCCCAUCCCAAAGGCCAUGCUCCAUCACGACCCAAGGAGCCCUCUGUCCAAAGGUCCAGCUGUGUGGCGCUGCCUGGAAUGUGUGGAUGGGAUGUGGUGUGGCCAUGGUGGUGGUCCACUAGCCUCCAUAUCCAAGUGCCUUAACUCAUUGGUGUCAAAGAGUUCCUUCAAGUUCUGUAGCAGAUCCAACCUCAGCUGUCAAAACCCCUUGCACCAACUCCUAGAUGGAGAUUACCUAAGUGAUGUGAAUCCAGGCAACAAGGGCACCAUCGCUCCUCAGAACUCCAUGAUGCACCUUCAGGACACAGCUUCACACUACAGUGACUGUCAAGGAGAGGAUAAUGAAUUUGGCUUAUGCUCAGAGAGAGAUGCUGAAGGAGGUCUAGGAGCCCUAGAGAGGCCGGGUAGGAGCUCUUAGGACAAAGGGCACAGGCCUUCAGGGUCCCAGCCAUCCCCUCCACCAUCUAUCGUCAACUCCGAUACCUGUGGAGAUGGUUAAACUUGAAUAUGACGAGACAGACACUGAACGAUCCAGGACUAAGAUCCAGGAGUAAAUGUACUCAUCAUGCCUGUGAACAUUCACAUAUUUCAUCCAGAGCUAUCCUUAUGCUUUAGAUAAAUACAUCUGGUAGCUUGCUUUUUUUUCAUGUCAAGUAUAGCCUAACAUGGUAAUGUAACAAUAUACUCUAAGUGUACAAAACAUUAAGGACACUUGCUCUUUCCAUGUCAUAGACUGGCCAGGUGAAUCCAGGUCAAAGCUAUGAUUCCUUAUUGAUGUCACUUGUUAAAUCCACUUCAAUCAGUGUAGAUGAAAUGGGAGGAGACAGGUUAAAGAAUGAUUGUUAAGCCUUGAGACAAUAUAGAAAUGGAUUGUGUAUGUGUGCCAUUCAGAUGGUGAAUGGGCAAGAUAAAAGAUUUAAGUGCCUUUGAACAGGGUAUGGUAGUAGGUGCUAGGCACAGCGGUUUGUGUCAAGAACUCAACAGUUUUGUGUAUCAAGAAUGGUCCACCACCCAAAGGACAUCCAGCCAACUUGACACAACUGUGGGAAGCAUUGGAGUCAAUAUGGGCCAGCAUCCCUGUGAAACGCUUUCGACACGUUGUAAAGUCCAUGCCCCGACGAAGUGAGGCUGUUCUGAGGGCAAAAGCGGGGGUGUAACUCAAUAUUAGGAAGGUGUCCUUAAUUUAAUGUUUUGUCCACUCAGUGUAUGUUAACUUACAUGAUUUAUACUGCCUAAUCCUUAUUCAACAAUCAAUCAACAAUUCUUAUUCAGUUAUGUCAUGAUUCAGUAUUUGAUUAUUUGACAUUAGUCAGCUUCAUGGUAGCCUUGCAUAUCAGGAUUGUAGGUGCUUCUCACCACAGGGUUUACGUAGAGUCCACCACCUUCAUGGUUAUAAGAGGGCACCAGGUGUCACUGUAGAGUCAUCGAGGAAAUUCCCAAUUUGUCUGUUUUGAUCAGUUGCCAUUGCCAAC